UGCCAGCAGCCGCGGUAAUACGGAGGGUCCGAGCGUUAAUCGGAAUGACUGGGCGUAAAGCGCGCGUAGGUGGUUUUUUAAGUUGGAUGUGAAAGCCCAGGGCUUAACCUUGGAAUUGCAUCCAAAACUGGGAGACUUGAGUACAGUAGAGGGAGGUAGAAUUUCAGGUGUAGCGGUGAAAUGCGUAGAGAUCUGAAGGAAUACCAGUGGCGAAGGCGGCCUCCUGGACUGAUACUGACACUGAGGUGCGAAAGCGUGGGUAGCGAACAGGAUUAGAUA
rnacentral:rRNA from 1 species